GAAGCCGAUGAAGGACGUUACUAACGACGAUAUGCUUUGGGGAGCUGUAAGUAAGCUUUGAUCCAGAGAUUUCCGAAUGGGGAAACCCAGCAUGAGUUAUGUCAUGUUAUCGAUAUGUGAAUACAUAGCAUAUCAGAAGGCACACCCGGAGAACUGAAACAUCUUAGUACCCGGAGGAAGAGAAAGAAAAUUCGAUUCCCUUAGUAGCGGCGAGCGAAACGGGAAGAGCCCAAACCAACAAGCUUGCUUGUU
rnacentral:rRNA from 1 species